rnacentral:rRNA from 1 species
UACGAAGGGGGCUAGCGUUGCUCGGAAUCACUGGGCGUAAAGGGUGCGUAGGCGGGUCUUUUAAGUCAGGGGUGAAAUCCUGGAGCUCAACUCCAGAACUGCCUUUGAUACUGAGGAUCUUGAGUAUGGGAGAGGUGAGUGGAACUGCGAGUGUAGAGGUGAAAUUCGUAGAUAUUCGCAAGAACACCAGUGGCGAAGGCGGCUCACUGGCCCAUUACUGACGCUGAGGCACGAAAGCGUGGGGAGCAAACAGG